CCUGAUAGUAGAAGUAGGCCUCCUCUGAACCCUCUCAAGGUUAUCUACAACCCCCUUGAAGUGCAGUGGCCAGAACUGGACACAGUACUCCAGCUGCAGUCUUACCAAUGCUGCAUAAAAGG